GGCGCACCUGCCAGGUUCACCUGCAGCCACUUGGCUCAGUGGGACUGGCGGGCGUGAUGCGCCCGUGGGUGGAGAUGGGUGUUCAUCCCCCAUCCCUCGGAGCAUCUGGACCUGGCGUUUCAUUGCAUGUAAAAUGGGACAGGAACACGCACCUCGGUUCAUGUGCUUGAGGAGUGUUUAGUGAGCACCUGCUAUGCGCCAGGCCUUUGGGCAGUGGACACAGGGAUAUGGCCGGGAUGAUAGACAGGUUCAGCCCUGCCAACACAGGUCUGGUUUGGGGAUGGACCCAAAGCGAGUGAGGAGAUGGAACAAGCUUCCAGCUCACAUGGUGUCAGGAAGGAUGAGAAGGCUGCAAGGGACUGAGAGGACAGUCAGUCUUAGCACCCGAAGCUCAAGGUCUUUGUGUCCCGACACUCUGCCACCUUCUCCAGCAUUGUGAAAGGCCAGCGGAGCCUGCACCACCGUGGAGACAACCUGGAGACCCUGGUCCUCCUGAACCCAUCAGACAAGUCCCUGUAUGAUGAGCUCCGGAACCUUCUGUUGGACCCUGCCUCUCACAAGCUACU
rnacentral:lncRNA from 10 species